AAAAAAAAGAGUGACUUGGGCAUGGGUUCUAAGCAUUGGAGGAGGAAGACGACACCGGACAGACAGUUUUGGCUCCUGUUUCAACUAAAGGCAAAUCUCUCCCAGGAGUUCUCGUUGCAUUGUUUUUUGUUCAUCGCAGGUAAGUUGACACAGGUGAGUAGAAUGAACAGAGGUUUAUAAAAACCGCAUAGGUUGGUCCAGAGCAAUCCCCUCCCAAUGGCAGCUUGUGGCUGAAUUGGCUGAGAGAUUUAAGUUAUCCACUUGUCUUCUCUCUGCAUUUAAAGUCUUUCAGCAAAAGCAACAAGCACCCCUAGAGAAGGACUUUUUGGUUGCUUCUAUGAGUUGUUGUGAACAGGAACUGCUACAGGAACAUGGGAAUUGUAGUACCCAUGUGGACAAUGGUUUGAAUGUGCCAUCUGAUCUCCCUCCAGCUUUCAUGAGUUAAAUCCUGCUAAGCUGUGGCAGCAUUUCUCUACUAAAUAUCCAGGCAGGAGAAAAAGCAUUAUAACUGUUGCAUAUAGUCCAUAGAAACCGUUCCUUAAAGCAUUCCUGUCCAUUAAGCAGUGAAAACAGGAGUCAUUUUCCAGUGGCUGUAAAGAUGUCUCCAAGAAAUAUGAUGCCAUUUAGAUGAACAAAUUAAUUUGUUAUAGUCAAGAAUACUUACUGUUUGUUUCACAGGCUACAAACUUGGCUGUUGGUUGUGAUAUUAUUGGCAUUUUAUAUAACUCUUUCUAUUUCUAAGGAUUUGGGUUUUGUUUCGUUUUUUGGAACCAAAAUAGAACCGUGAACUCUUUAAAUGAGUUUAACUUUCUUCUUAACCAGUCAUGUGUUUUAAAAGCCUGUCCUGUAGAACAUGUUCGUGGAAUUAUUGGACAGGAAGGGAUAUCUAAGUUUAUAAUGCAUUUAUAUGAGGUGUAGACAAGUUGGGUAAUUUAAAAUGAAUAAAGGAAGUACUUGGAAGCCUUUAGAUCAGGCAAGGCUGCAAAACAUGCUGUAUAUCUUAACGCAUAGAUGAACUAAGAAUUAUUAAGUAAAUGAAAUAAUUGGAGGGAUCAGACCUUCAGGUCUAUAAAGUCCUGCAGUUAACAAUGUGCACAGGACUUACUUUUAAAAAGAAUCUGCUAACUAUGCUCAUAACAUAAAAGGGUUGGUCCAUAAGAAAUAAAAUACAAAAUCCAUAGUUGUCUAACCUUUUAUCAGAACAUACCAAUAUAUGCUUUUGUGACUGACAGCCGUCAUUGUAGUGCACACCAAAUAAAUACGAAAGGUUGAUGGAAAUCAGAUUCUCAGAUUGCUUGAUUAUCCAGCUGAGAUUAUACCUGUACAUUUAUGCUGGAGUAAAUUAAACUUGCCCUGAAUUCAUUGUUUGAAAUGCACCACUGGCUACUGCUGGAACAGGUGCAUUUUAGAGGUAAAUAUAGGUAUUCUGGCUUGGUGAAGAUGGAUUAAUUUGGGAGGCAGGCAUGGAAAAUCCUUAGCUUGCCUAAAACCAUACAGGCUGUGUUUUCCCAUCUGAUGCAACCAAUGGAACUAUAGUUUUGAGUUCUCCCUGCGUUGUUCAGAAGCCAAGAAUUUGUUCUCUGAAUGCUUUAUGGGAGAGGCUGAUUGACGUUCUGUUGUUGCUACUUGUUCCGUUGCGACUUCGAACCCUUUCUCCCUGUAUAUUCCGAAGUGGCUGGGUGGGAAAUGGGACCUGCUGACAUCCUACUUCUUGGAUUGCUUUGCCACUCGGCUUCCUUGGAGACCCAAAUGGUGAACCUUGAGGUGAUGUAGCAGCACGACAUGGUUUGUAGAGAAAAGAAGAUACAGACCGUUCUGGGCUGCCUCAUGACCUCAAGGGCUCAGUCGAAGGGAAGUCAUCAUCAGCCCCAGGAAAGCCAAGACUCUCCCAAACCUAGCUUACCUGGCUAGGUAUGUUUCAGUAUGAAUACAUUGAGUGGGUUCUUGAAGCAUCUGCCUUAUAACUUUCCUUUUCCUUUCCCACCUCAAAAAUGAAAGAAAUAUGGGAGAUGAUUUCAGAGUCACCCAAACCGUGAGGUUCCGAGGUCUCCGCCAGCAGAACCUUCUCUGAAUCUACAAUAUUGGGAAGGAGAUAGAAUUGCAAAGACAAAAUUGAGGCCCUGCUGCCUCCGAAGGCAGGUGUUUCCAACCUUGGGAACUUUAAGACUAGCCGGCUGGGGAAUAAUUCUGGGAGUUGUAGUCCACAGGUCUUAAAAGUUGCCACGGUUGGAUACCUCUGCUCUAAGGGCAUUUAAAAGUGGCUAGCAUCCUUCCUCGAUGGUUUUAUUCCCAGCAGAAUUAAGCUCUGAAUAGAAUAGAAUAGUAUAGAACAGAACAGAACAGAACAGAACAGAACAGAAUAGAAUAGAAUAGAAUAGAAUAGAAUAGAAUAGAAUAGAAUAGAAUAGAAUAGAAUAGAAUAGAAUAGAAUAGAAUAGAAUAGAAUAACAGAGUUGGAAGGGACCUUGGAGGUCUUCUAAUCCAAUCCUCUGCUUAGGCAGGAAACCCUACACCACUUCAGGCAAAUGGCUAUCCAACAUCUCCUUAAAAACUUCCAGUGUUGGAGCAUUCACAACUUCUGGAGGCAAGUUGUUCCACUGAUUAAUUGUUCUCACUGUCAGGAAAUUUCUCCUUAGUUCUAAGUUGCUUCUCUCCUUGAUUAGUUUCCACCCACUGCUUCUUGUCCUGCCCUAAGGUGCUUUGGAGAUUAGCUUGACUCCCUCUUCUUUGGGGCAUGCUCUGGAUUGCAUGCUGCUAGCAGAAUAACCUGUUUCCUUGAAAGCACAAAUUCAAGAGAGUUACUCCCAAGUCAAAAGAGACAAGAUUUCAAUUUUUUUUCUUUUCCCCCCUCACCGGAGUCUUGCAGUGCUUGGGCGACAUCACAGCCCUCUUUGUUACUCCCAGGGAGGGCUGCAGAAACUGAAAGAUCUGUCCGCUAUGCUUUAGCAGCACGUAAAUACUGGAGUUUAGAAUGGCCUCCAGUAUUGCUUUGCUGCUGUAGUGAAGCUGGCACCUGCUCCGGGAAACUGGCUUCUUAAAGUGAUGCAAAGAACUUCGUUCGUUGUCCACUGGGUGAGAGUUUUAGGAUGGGAGUUGUGAUUCUCCCCAAAUAAACCAACAUCCCCCUUGCUAUAGUUGAGGAGAAAACAUUCCUCUUCUGGUAGGGUGAAACAAGGGCAGAAUAGCCUAACCCUAACCCUGAAGUCUUCUGCUCUGCUCUCCUGUUGGAGAAUUUAGAGAGCUGCAACUCAGUGGACUUGCAAAGACAAAUGAGGAAAUAUUCAUAGUUCAGGGUCCUUGGUGCUCUUUGAGCUUGCAGGUGUUUGAUUACCUAACGAGGUAACAUCUUCAGUGCUAGGAGGGAGUGGGCUUGGCUGUCUUUUAUUAUACCAAUACAAUCCCGCUUCCUUGUAGUACUCAUUGUCUUUACCUAGUUGGGUAAUGAAGGUCUGCAAGAAAAAACCCACCCCAAACCUCAGAGAACUCCAAGGAUCCCACAGAUAAGCCAAUUUAAAACUGCUGAUUAUGGAAAUAGAGUCUGAAUAUAGUAGUAUAUGAAUAUGGCAUAGUAGUCCCAACUACUACUAAGUGUUGUGGCCUCUAGUAAUCAGCAAGGUUGGGAAUCUCCCUGAAUCUUCUGUGGAAGAAGCCGACUGAAUGUUUCUGGUAGGCAUCAGGAGGAUGAGAGCCUCUGCACCAAAGACAAAUUCCUUGUGUGUCCAAUCACACUUGGCCCAUAAAAAAAAAUUCUGUUCUAUCUAUUCUAUGAUAGAAGCAUCAAUUGUGCAAUUUAACUGAUUGGAUUCCUGUAUCACACUAAGCAGUGGCUUAUUUAAUUAAUGCCUUUUUUGAUAAAGCAUAAUUGGAUGGAUUUAUAUACUAAUUGACGGUGUAUAAAUCAUAUAAUGGCUUGAUUGUGAUGAUUCUGGCUUUAUUCCUCCAGAGUUUAGGGAGAAAAACGAUGACAAGAUUUUCUAGUAAAAGUUAGGCGGGGUAUUCUUGGUGCAAUACCAUUUUACAAAAUGAAUAUUUGUAUUAAAUAUCUGGUGCAAAUCAACCAUUGUGUGAUUGUCCCAUAUCUCAGGCGAGAUAAUCGGAUGCUACUGUCUUUGAUUGCCCACUGAAGUUGUCUUUAAAACUGAAGGACAGGCAGAAGCUCAAGAGUUAGCCUUACACAUUGCCUAAUCCUUGUCUAUGGAAUAAGGCACAGCUUGUCUAGGUUUGCAGGACAAGCUGAACCAAGAUUGACUUCUUAUAACGAAUCCGUGCAACAUUUUAAGACGCAAAGUCUCGUUUUUUGCUUAUCCUGGUGUGUGAAUUGAGCUGCCUCCUCCUCAGAACUUCCUCUAAAAAAAGACGAGAAACAUCACCUGGAGGAUAAAUUAGACUACUACAAUUUGAAGAGGUAGAAAAAUAAAUCGGGAAUCCCGCGGUAUCUUUUCAGACUGAGGAAAAGGGUUUUUUUUAAUCAAACGGGCUAGUCUGAAAACGGCCCCCGGAUUCCUCCUAUCUUUAACGGCGUCUGGUACGAUCGGGAGAGCCGAGAAUAAAACGCUGCCGCCGCUUCUGCUUUCUGGGGAGCCCUUCGGGGGGGGCGGGGGCGGUCGAGGCUGCAGUGGUUUUGCCCCACCCAGGGUUCCCCCAGGGCUAGAAAGGGAGCCCCCGAGUGCUUCGGAAGCGGCGAAGCGCUUUUUCCCCAGGAGAGAAUUGGUCGAGGCCGGGGGUGCGGCCGGCACAAAAACGAGCGGAGCGAUGGGUAGUUCAGACAGCUGGGAGCGCAUCCCCCGGAGAGAAAUCGGGGAGGGAGCCGAGGAGCUCCCGGACUGUCCCCAAGGCUUGCCGGGCCCCGCCCGUUGGGGCUGGGUCGGUUUGCAAAGCGCGCCGGGACGGGAGAGGGAACCGAACCUGGUUAUCCCCGUACGCGGGGGGGCUACCGGCCCCGUCUCGCUUGCUGGGCUCGAGUGGAGCCCGGACGGCGCUUCCGCUUCAACACGGCCAGGCCCUUCGAGGGGCUGAAGGAAGAGGCAGAGGGCCCCCCGCUUGAGCAAGGGGUUGGACUAGAAGACCUCCAAGGUCCCUUCCAGCUCUGUGGUUCUGUUCAGUAUAGCUCUCUUCCCACCGAGAGAGGCGAAGGGCCGGGGGACUUUUCAAACUGGCCGCCGGGGUUAGAAUUUUGCCCGACGUGAAUGCCAGGAAGCCGGGCGGGAUGGAGGGCGUUCAAGCCCUUUCGGGUUCACUAAAAUAAAAUAAAAACGAAGCAGCCCCUCGAGUUUCCAAGGCUGGCCGGGGAGGCGGGAGCGUCCUUUCCUAGUGGUACCCUCGGGCCCAUGCGGCUGGGCGCUCAGCUGCGGAGAAGAGGCGUCGAUCUCUCGGCCGCUUCAGCCGGAGGGGGGGGGGUUCCUGGGAAGCGCGUGUCCGCGCCUGCCCCUCCCCGCCGUUGCGCAUCUUUUCGUUUGCCCCCACGAGUCGCUCCGUCCCGCAGAGAGGUAGGUGGUGCGCGGCGUCGGGCGGCUGGGCAGCCGGGCAGCCCAGUUCCGCUUGCAGUCCCCCGGCGCGCCCUCCGGGGAUCAGCAGGGCAGAGGGAGGCGCGCACCCCCGCCCCGGGAUGGGGUCUGGCCGCCCGAUGGCGCGGUUCGCCUGCCCGCCGCUGACUGCGAAACAAGUCGCGGUUUAGCCGGCCUUGCGCUUGUCUGCCUGCGAGGGAUCAGCUCGGGUGAAGCCUCGUCGGAGCUGCAUCGAGUCUCGCCUGCCGACGCCGCUUCACCUGGGGGGGGGAGGGGCUUGGCCGUGCCCCCCCCAGGCCUACCUCGCCGGGGGCUCGUUGGGCGGGAGGAAGGGGCGCAACGUGCCGUUCCUGGCGGAAAAGCGAGGUCGAAGCGCUGCGACAAUUGAGAAGGCGGCUGG